CAGCCGUAAACUAUGCUCGCUAGGUGUCAGGCAUGGCGCGACCGUGUCUGGUGCCGCAGGGAAACCGUGAAGCGAGCCACCUGGGAAGUACGGCCGCAAGGCUGAACUUAAGGAUUGGCCGGGGGAGCACCACAACGGGUGGAGCCUGCGGUUUAAUUGGACUCAACGCCGGGAAGCUCACCGGAUAAGACAGCGGAAUGAUUGCCGGGCUGAAGACUCUGCAUGACUAGCUGAGAGGAGGUGCAUGGCGUAGACGUCU
rnacentral:rRNA from 1 species